rnacentral:rRNA from 1 species
AAAUGAAUUUGACGGGGCCCGCACAAGCGGUGAGCAUGUGGUUUAAUUCGACGCAACGCGAAGAACCUUACCAGGGCUUGACAUCCCCUGACCGCGUACGAAGUACGAAUUCACCCUCGGGUGACAGGGAGACAGGUGGUGCAUGGUUGUCGUCAGCUCGUGUCGUGAGAUGUUGGGUUAAGUCCCGCAACGAGCGCAACCCCUACGUUUAGUUGCUAACGCGUGAAGGCGAGCACUCUAGACGAACUGCCGUUGACAAAACGGAGGAAGGUGGGGAUGACGUCAAAUCAUCAUGCCCCUUAUGUUCUGGGCUACACACGUGCUACAAUGGCCGGUACAGACGGACGCAAAGCCGCGAGGUGGAGCAAAUCCUAAAAAGCCGGUCUCAGUUCGGAUUGCAGGCUGCAAUUCGACUACGUGAAGUCGGAAUCGCUAGUAAUCGUGGAUCAGAAUGUCACGGUGAAUACGCUCCCGGGUCUU